GCUCUGGGACUGGAGCCUUCUAAGCCUUCCUGCCCCUUCCCCUAGAUAGCUGAGCUUUUUCUGUACGAACUAAACGGAAUGCUGGACAUUGGAAAUAAUUCUACUCAAAAGCAUGAGUUGCCUUUUCUCAUUGUAUUUGCCUCUCAGAAGGUUUUCUUGUAGAUGGAUUUAUGGAAGUGACUUUCUUCUCUGGCCCGGCGAGAGAACUGCUUUCUGGUUUACAGAACUUGGGUGUAGUGAGAAUCCUCCCUUCCACCAGCACUGAAGAAGCACUUCCUCUGAAAGAAGAUUCUGGAAAUGUAGUGGAAGACCUUGCUACCUCACAUCUACCACCUUGUCUACCUCGUACCUCCUCGGGAGUGCCUGGUGGAGACAUGUGGAAAAGAGCUGGAAAGUGAGAAUAGAAUCCCAUUUAUCCACAGUAGCUCAACUAUAGUUAUUAAGGAGUUAUAAUACUGUUCACUGCUUCUGCCUGUGGUGUCUAUUUCUUCCCUCUUUGUCAAAGCCACUUUCAGGUGCCUUAGCCUCUUCCAGAUCCAAGCUUUCUGACUGACGUGUUUAAGAAAGUGAAAUAAAAGUUUGUAGACUACCCUA
rnacentral:lncRNA from 1 species